rnacentral:rRNA from 1 species
AGAGUUUGAUCAUGGCUCAGAUUGAACGCUGGCGGCAGGCCUAACACAUGCAAGUCGAGCGGUAGAGAGAAGCUUGCUUCUCUUGAGAGCGGCGGACGGGUGAGUAAUGCCUAGGAAUCUGCCUGGUAGUGGGGGAUAACGUUCGGAAACGGACGCUAAUACCGCAUACGUCCUACGGGAGAAAGCAGGGGACCUUCGGGCCUUGCGCUAUCAGAUGAGCCUAGGUCGGAUUAGCUAGUUGGUGGGGUAAUGGCUCACCAAGGCGACGAUCCGUAACUGGUCUGAGAGGAUGAUCAGUCACACUGGAACUGAGACACGGUCCAGACUCCUACGGGAGGCAGCAGUGGGGAAUAUUGGACAAUGGGCGAAAGCCUGAUCCAGCCAUGCCGCGUGUGUGAAGAAGGUCUUCGGAUUGUAAAGCACUUUAAGUUGGGAGGAAGGGCAGUAAAUUAAUACUUUGCUGUUUUGACGUUACCGACAGAAUAAGCACCGGCUAACUCUGUGCCAGCAGCCGCGGUAAUACAGAGGGUGCAAGCGUUAAUCGGAAUUACUGGGCGUAAAGCGCGCGUAGGUGGUUAGUUAAGUUGGAUGUGAAAUCCCCGGGCUCAACCUGGGAACUGCAUUCAAAACUGACUGACUAGAGUAUGGUAGAGGGUGGUGGAAUUUCCUGUGUAGCGGUGAAAUGCGUAGAUAUAGGAAGGAACACCAGUGGCGAAGGCGACCACCUGGACUGAUACUGACACUGAGGUGCGAAAGCGUGGG